GACAGAGGUUGCAAACGUUGUUCGGAAUUACUGGGCAUAAAGCGCACGUAGGCGGUCCGUUAAGUCAUGUGUGAAAUCCCUCGGCUCAACCGAGGAAUUGCGCCUGAUACUGGCGGGCUAGAGGUCGAUAGGGGUAAGCGGAACUCCAGGUGGAGCGGUGAAAUGCGUAGAUAUCUGGAGGAACACCGGUGGCGAAAGCGGCUUACUGGAUCGAAACUGACGCUGAGGUGCGAAAGCUAGGGUAGCAAACGGG
rnacentral:rRNA from 1 species